AUGCAUGACAGGGAACGGAAGGAGAGAUUUCACUGCAGUAGCUAUACAACAAUCUUAAAUCUCUAAGUGAUGUAGAGUUUCUACUUCCUUACCAUCUUAAAAUCUUCGAGGAGGCCGAGUGCGUGCGUGGCCAAGUGCGUGUGAGAGGAUGUUUGGGGGCAGCGGCUGGUGGGUUAGGGUUAGGACUUCUUUGUUUUUUGAUUUAUUUUUUAAUUAAAGUGUACGUUUUAUGAGAUGGAAAGCGCGAAUACCAAAAUAAAAAGUGUGAACGCCAAAAUAAAGAGCGCGACC
rnacentral:lncRNA from 1 species